rnacentral:rRNA from 1 species
GAUGAACGCUGGCGGCGUGCUUAACACAUGCAAGUCGAACGGAAAGGCCCAAGCUUGCUUGGGUACUCGAGUGGCGAACGGGUGAGUAACACGUGGGUGAUCUGCCCUGCACUUCGGGAUAAGCCUGGGAAACUGGGUCUAAUACCGGAUAGGACCACUUCUUGGAUGUUGUGGUGGAAAGUUUUUUCGGUGUGGGAUGAGCUCGCGGCCUAUCAGCUUGUUGGUGGGGUAAUGGCCUACCAAGGCGUCGACGGGUAGCCGGCCUGAGAGGGUGUACGGCCACAUUGGGACUGAGAUACGGCCCAGACUCCUACGGGAGGCAGCAGUGGGGAAUAUUGCACAAUGGGCGCAAGCCUGAUGCAGCGACGCCGCGUGGGGGAUGACGGCCUUCGGGUUGUAAACUCCUUUCGCUAGGGACGAAGCGUUUUGUGACGGUACCUGGUGAAGAAGCACCGGCUAACUACGUG